AAUUUUUCUUGAAUUAUUGUAUAAAUAAUAAUAGUUUAAAUUUUACCUAAAGUCUCAUUAAUCUCAUAAUUAUAAUUUUGAGAUUGAAAAAAAUGCAAAUCUUCCUCGAUUGGAAGAAAAAAAAAAAAAGGUGUUGAUUUGUGAGAAGGGGUGUGAAAAUCAUUUUUCAAAAUUUUAUUUCUCUCUUUAUCUAUGUGCCCCGGCGCCGCCCACCGUCUUUCUCGAACCACGGCGGUAUAUUGCAAUCAGCCGUAAUGGUCGUCGAACCCGUAAAGCUACUCUGAUGUCAUUGCCACUUUGGGCUUAUGAUUAGCUCCAGAUCUACAAAAACCCAGAUGGAAGAACAUCACAUUGCUUUGGAAACAUCGAAUGCCUUCCUCUUCAGAAAAGGUGAUAAAGAUUCUAAGUGGUUGCGCUACUAGUUGUGAGAGGAGUUGGACCUAUUUUUGGUGCCAUAAUUUUUUUCCCCAGUAAAUAUGUUCAUAGUCUUUUCGUGCCAUAUUCGCCUCAUAACACAGUUUGUUUUAUGUUGUGUUCAUGAAAAUCUGGAUACCUUUGAUGCUAUGUUUUGGUCUUGGGUUGUUGAAGAAAGGAAACAAGAAAUUGUUUGGAUGAGUUACGUUGUGUGGAGGAUUUAGUCUCAGUAGCAGCAAACCAACAGUGUUCGGAACUGAACUCGACAAUUAUUAUACUUUCUGGCUCAUUCCUUAAUGCAACCAUAGAAUUGGUAAACA